CACACACACACACACACACACACACUAAACUAGAAAGUCAAUUAUUUAACAUGCAUUUUCUAAUGAAACGUCUAAGAAGAUUCCCUGCUUGCAUUUUGGAAUGGCAAGAUAGUUGCCACAUCUGCUUCUGAAUUAAGGCAUUAUUGGUGGACUUGAAAUGAACAGCUGGACUGCUUCACAUGCUCCAGGCACCAUGAUGUCUUUCUUGCUCAAGCAAACAGGACCAAAAUCACCAAAGAUAGAACUCACUGAAACCAUGAACAAGAACAAAACCUUCCUUGCUUAUGGUGCCUUUGCUAGGCAUGUUAGUCAUGUUGACAAAUGGUCACUGAUAUACAGUUUUACCACCCAUGUGAAUAAAGCAAAUAUAAGAUAAAAUGAUAGUGCCUGGAAGAUGCAAUUUGGUUGGUGAUGAAUUGAAUUUUGUGUUAUAUAAAAUGCAGAUGAGUAUUAAGUCAUAAGUGGGCAGAGGAAAGUUUAUUGACUAAUACUAAAUGAGUGUAGCAAGAUAUAGCAAAAGACAUUGAAAUGGCAAGGGUGAAAUGAAGAUUGUUUUGUGUGUCACAAGAUGAGAUACACAUUACUGACCCAUUUCUGUCCUACAUCAUAUGCUUGUUUCAACCAUUAAAGUGUGUAUUU